rnacentral:rRNA from 1 species
UACGUAGGGUGCAAGCGUUAAUCGGAAUUACUGGGCGUAAAGCGUGCGCAGGCGGUUGGGCAAGACCGAUGUGAAAUCCCCGGGCUUAACCUGGGAAUGGCAUUGGUGACUGCCUGGCUAGAGUGUGUCAGAGGGGGGUAGAAUUCCACGUGUAGCAGUGAAAUGCGUAGAGAUGUGGAGGAAUACCGAUGGCGAAGGCAGCCCCCUGGGAUAACACUGACGCUCAGGCACGAAAGCGUGGGGAGCAAACAGG